GAAUCAGUGGUAUAGGGGUUUGAAUGCUGGACUAUGACUCUGGAGACCAGGGUUCAAAUCCCUGCUUGGCCA